UACUGAACCUGGGAAAGAACAAUCUCAUAGGAAAUAUACCUGAAAAGUUUUCUUAUAAUUGUGAGUUACAGAGCCUUGACCUCAGUCAGAAUCACUUAACAGGUGUGCUUCCUCGUUCUUUGUCCAACUGCACAAAGUUAAAGGUAUUAAAUAUUGGAAAGAACAAGAUCAAGGAUACUUUCCCCUGCUGGUUGAUGAACAUGUCAG
rnacentral:misc_RNA from 1 species